AAAAGUUAAUGAAAGAUCAAAGAUAACUAGAUAACUAGAUAACUACGAAAACACAGUGGCCACCCUGACUUUGACCACUUUCUGCUCAUUAGUGCUUAACCCUGUUGCUUGCUAAUUGCCCAACACUCAAUAACCUUGCUUUUUGCUUUAACAAUUUGUUAUCAGCAACUGUGCCAUGAUACAUGGCUAUAUAUAAGCAUUUUCAAAAAUUGAGGAAGUAGCCAUGAACACACAGAGGCAAGCCUGACUUUGAUUGCUUUCUACUCACUGGUGCUUAACCCUGUUGCCAGCCGGUUGCCUCACACUAAACAACCUUGCUCUUUUCAUUAUUGUUGAAUGGACAAGAAUAACAUUAGAUCAUCACUAGGCAGAAAAACCUAAAUUGAGGUCUUUUAAGUUACGGAGCAUAUGAAAAAGGGUAGUUUUGUAAUCUUUUCAACAGUAGUUUUUCAAACUAAAAAUAAAGCACUUUAAUGUGUGGACCUCUAUUCCUAAUAGGCGGCAGUUGAUUACAUGAAUUAUGACACACAACAAGUGCACUACUUUAUAAGAUCUGUAUAAAAGCAUUUGUUACAUGCUAAAGGUGCAUUCUCUUAUCAUCAGAAACCAUAAUCUUUACUACAGAAAGAAACUAAAUUUGAACAACAUCAACACAAUUAAUCAGUAUAAUAAUGAAGUCAAAUACCACUGGUUGUAUCUCAAUAACACUAAUUAUUUCUUUCACUACAAAUGUAAUUACAAAUAUUGUGACAAAGAUGCAAGGUUUAUAGAGGUAAUAAACGUCUUAACGUUUUAUCUUACAAUGCUAUGAUAUCAUCAUCACAAAUAAUCCUAAAAUUUGGUCCAACAGGAAAUACAUUAAAAAUGUUAUGUGAUGAUCUGGAACUAAAUAAUUUCCCUAUAACACCAGAAACAAUGCUCAACCAAUAGAUUUUGAAAGAGGAUACAGAAUACCAUUCCAGAAUAGAUAUACAGUCAUGAAAAAGGUUAUCACUUGCUAAAUAAGCCAGUACCUGAGAGCUUUCAACUUCAGAUUUGAAUUUGGACAAAUUGGAUUCUUGAGUCAUUUCAAUCUGUAGGCAACAUCAAUGCAUGUGAAUUAACAAUACCAAAAAAUGAAAUUUAACAUCAUAAUUAUAAAAACCUAAAGCUGUUGACAUGUCUCAUAUAUGAACAUGGAGCAUAACAAGCCAUGGACCUACAGGCACCCCAGAAUCAAUAAACCUUACUUUCUGUAUUUCGCCCUUAGAAACCAAGGACUGAGCCACAUUCUCCAAACUGUCAUUCAAGACUUCAGUUAUGGUAGAUGUUAUGGCCUCAGCAUGUUUUGACGGUAUGCCCUGAGCUUCUAAUUUCCUAACCUGAGACAAGACACCAUAUCAUUAGCAAUUCUCGAAUUCCAUCCGAGAUUAAACUCUAUGCUUAAUUUGGUUGCAGAGAAGUAAUAGAAAUUACAUUCUUGAAUCAUAUAACUUUUCUUUAGUUGUGAUACUAGAAAAUAAAAUCUACACUGAAAAAUGAGCCUAGUUCUGAUUUCCAUAAUUCUUGGAAAUAUAAUUUAAAUAUCAUUUUUUUCUUUUCUAGGAAAACGAAACUGCAAAUCAAGACUAUAACUAAAAACUGAAACAGCAAAAAAAAUAUGAAUAUAAUUACCAGAGCCAAUGUGUCAACUAGGAACAAUCGCCCUCCAUUAGACUUCACGAACUGAGAAAACGGCCUAUAAUCAGAUCUUCUGCAAUAUCCAGAAGGCGAAGAAAAAGAAGAUAAAAAAGCUAAGAACUGGAUCGUAUUCGAUUUCCCCUCCACACUAAAUGCUUUGAAGUUGUUGAGAGCAGUCCCGAUUCCUGAAACCUUCCCAAUUUUCCCGGCGUACCUACAAGCCGCAAAUGCGGCCAUUCGAUUCAGCAAGCGUACUCCAAAUAAUCUGCAAGCACAAAGCCCCAAUUCACCCGAAACCCUAAUGUAUGAACUCAAGAUUUGAAAGAAAAACUCGGAUUCGGAGAUCCUCUGCUACGGUUCUCACUUGAUCGAUUCUUUUACUAAGCUAUGUUUGACGCCAAAAGUUGCGACGCCAGCUUUCUAUUCAUUGGGCAGUUUCUCCCCUACACGCCUAUUAUUCCCUAUUUUUCUCUUGUUUUCCCUUACAAGCAAAGUCGAAAACGGGUUUCCCUUCAGAUCUUUUGCCACCCUGUCCACGUUGAAGCGUUGAUAGGCUGGCAGUUGAGCCUCUAUUGGGUUCAUAUCCACGGAGCUAGGUUUUGCAAUGGGUCUUUUUGCGUAACCCGGCCCGCCGCACAUCUAUUGGGUCAGGUACUUCACUGGGAUUCCGAAGUGAGGAUUGAAAUGUUGAAAAUUUUCGGCGAGCUUAUCGGUCGAUAGAAAUUUCGGUAACUUUAAAAAAUAUCGCCGAUAUUUCGUCCUUUAUCGACAUUUUUACCGGUUUUUCGGAAAAUUUCCCGAUAUUUCCUACCAGUCCAGCCCGCGCACAGGAUACAAAAUCUGUCCAAUUUUUUUAAAAAAAUACAUAAGAUGCUAUUUGGUAAUCUGAUCAUGAUUUGCAGGCGAAGGUUGUGUUUUUCAGCCUGGCUCAAAAAUCGUGGAUUUAGGGUUCGUGAAAUUUAAAUCCAAUGGCAUAAAAGCAAAGAGACCCUUAGAACAGAUCCAGAAAACACAGGGAGAAAAAAAAAAAGGCACUUUUUUGGUUUUCCUUCGGGGUUUUGCAUGGAUUUUCUCGGAAAUCAAACGAGGAUGAAUUUUCCCGGAAAUAGAAUGGGGGAUGGAUUUUCUCGGGAAUCAAACAGGGGUUGCAAAAAAAAAUAAUAAUAAUAAUAACAUGAUUAGAUUAGUACCUGCGAGGAUUGAGAGUGGCAGAGGAAAAUAGGGCCUUUUUAGGGAUUCUCUCGUCUGGAGGGCAACUUCAGAAAAGGGCUUCUUGAUGCCCGAGUGAGUGAAGUGGGCGGCCCUUUUGAUUUUUAGAUUUAGUAGGAAUAAAAAUAAAAAAUAAAAAGGAAUUAAAUCAUGAGAACAAUUUUCCUCUCCCUAUAUAAAUAAUUAUUAAUUAUCCAUCUUUGGAUUAAAUCUCGGUUAUUAUCGGUGAUUUUUAUAAAUUAAAAUUAAUUUGAUAAUAAAUUAUUAAUAAUUAUAGUUAUUUAAAUAAAUUAAUGUUAAUAGAAAAAGUUAUUAUCACAUAUUUUUUAAUAAAAUUUUAGAAAUUAAAUCUUAAAUAAAAUAUUUUAUAUAAAUUAAUUUAAUUUUUUAUUUAAAAUGUAUUAAAAUAUGUUUUAAUAAAAAUAUCUUAAAAUUUUUUAAAUAAAUAUUGUUUUCAACAAGAUGAGCUCCCUUCAUCUCACAAUAUGAUGAAAUUACAUCGAUCUUCAUUUUGAUAUCAAAGACUAUUGCAUUGUCAUAUAUAUUAUAUUUAUGUAUAAAUUGUUUUUAUUCAAUAAAAUCAAAUAUUUUUUUUAACUUAAUUCUAACUUUAUACACUUCCAAAAUUCAUAUUUAUUAUUCUUCAAAUUCAAAUAUUGAAUCUAUCAAUAUAUCUCUAUCUACUGAUGUUUUUCUUCUUGAUCAUAUCUAUAUCAAUUACACUUAUAAAAUAACUUUAAAAUGUGUAUUCUUACUUAUUUUAUCAUUUUUUUUGGAGUUUUUUCAAGCAUUCCUAUGAAUUUUAAAUAAUUUUUACUCCACCGAUAUUUGUGAAAAAAUAUCCGUCCAUAUUUCUCAUAUAUUUCCAAUAUAUUCAUAAAAUCGAAGUAUCGAUAUAUCCGUAAUUAUCGAUAUUUUCAUUAUUGUUCCAAAGGGAUCAAAGAACUUUUUGAAAACUGCUAAUGAUUUGGAACGAACGAAUUUGGUUUUAUAUCAACCUGCCGAUCCUACUGGUUUAUAAGAGAAUUACAACUUUACCCUUCAACUUUUUGAAUAUCCCUUAAAAGCUUUCUAUUAAACAACUCUUUCUUCGAACCACUGGUGUAACUUGGAUCGUUUCCAUUAAUAUGAACCAAAUUCAACAUUUUAAUAAAUUUUGAACAAUCGCUUUCAAUACUCAAAUUAAUCUUUGAUUAAAGUUAUUUCAACCCGAACUCAAUUUGAGUUAGAUUUUGCUCAAAAUUCAAAUAAUUUAACCCUAACUCAAACUCGAUUAAUGUUUUUAUAAUAUUUAUAAAACAUAUUAUCUUAUAUAAUAAUAUUAAUUUUCCUUUUAGAUUUUUAAGAAAAAAACAUAUCAAAUUACCCAAGCCAAAAGCAAGGGUAACUUUGUUAAUUUUGCAUAUCCAAGAGAAAGGUAAAACAUGCAAAAAUAGAGAAUAAAAGGCAUUUUAGGGGAAAAACUACCCAAUGAAUAGAAAGUCGAGGUCGCAAUUUUUGGCGUCAAACAUAGCUUAGUAAAAUAAUCAAUCAAGUGAAAACCGUAGCAGAGGAUCUCCGAGUCCGAGUUUUUCUUUUAAAUUUUGAGUUCAUACAUUAGGGUUUUGGGUGAAUUGGGGCUUCGUGCUUGCAGAUUAUUUGGAAUACGCUUGCUGAAUCGAAUGACCACAUUUGCGACUUGUAGGAGGUACGCCGGGAAAAUUGGCACGGUUUCAGGAACCAGGACUACUCUCUACAAAUUCAAAGCGUUUAGUGUGGGGGGGAAAUUGAAUACCACCUCUGCGAUCCAGUUCUUAGCUUAUUUAUCUUCUUUUUCUUCGCCUUUUGGAUUUUUUUUUUUCUAAUGGCAUGAUUUGCUAAACUCCUUACAUCAAAAUGCGAAUCACAGUAAGACCCACAGCUGAAAUAGAAACAAGGGUACCUAUGCAGUAUUUUAUCACAUCAUACUUUGCAGCUUCUAACUGAGCCCUUAGUGCAUGAAUUUCCUGGGAUUAAGAAAAAGAAAACAACCCGAAAAAACUUUAGAAAACAAAAACAAAGAUUGAACCUCAUAGAUAUCCAACUACACUUGUGAUACUCACCCGAUCUAGUUUGUUAGUGAGGCUAGUGGUUUCUGCAUUCUGAUUUGCUAACUCAUCUCGUAUCCUCCUGAUGAUGAAUAGUAAGAAAUGAUACAUUCAGUAACAAAGAUAUCUAUCUAAUUGAAACAUAAUCCUAUCAUAUUCAAGAAACAAUUUAUAUAGUUUGUUUUCCUUACCCCCUUUCAAGAUUUAAAUCUAAACGUUGUCCAACAGUGACUUUGUCAAUUUCAUACCUGUGUUACAAUGCAUGUCAUUGUCCUAUAAAAAAGUAUAAAAAAUAUAUAUCCUUACAUCAUAUAAGGAAAAAAUUGUUGCAAAAUAUCUAUGUAAAACCAGACCUUAGUUCACUACGCAUCUUUUCUAUAUCACUUCGAAGUUUCUCAGUUUCAUGUUGCAAGACAGAAAAAUGAUGUCCCUGCAUUAUUGUUUGUUGAGACAGAGUCAAAAUAUUUUACAUGACACUGCUACUAUAGUUUAAAUGAAAAAGCAAUUAAGAAAAUCUAGUUUUACAAAAUAAAUAAUGCAAAUAAAAGAAAACUGAUGAUUGUUGGCCAUGAUACACCUAAAAAGUAACUAUCCACCGUCCAUUAAAAAAAAAAGAGUUAAAAGGAGUUAUCCAUAAAAUUAAAGUAGAUGCAUGAGGUGUAAGGUUGUUUGACGAAACAACAUAUCAAAAAUUAAAGUAAAUUAAAGUGGAUGCAUGAGGUGAAAAUUGGUUGUCCACCGAAACAACAUAUUAAUAAAAUGUGUCACUAAAGUGAAAGUGCUAUGUGGGUCAAUCACAAGACAAGAAAACCACACGCUAAAUUAUGAAAGCAUUUGUGAGAACUAAGGAUAAAAUAAAUAAAUAAAUAAUUUGAGGAAAUAUAUAAAAGCUGGGUACUGUUGUUAUUUGAAAAGGAACUAGCUUUUUAUAUCAAUGGCUAACAAUAAAACUCAGCAGAAAAAACAAGCUGAUAUCAGCAACUAUGUCAUCGUACAUGACUAUUUACAUAUGCAUUUCUAAAAGUUAAUGAAAGAUCAAAGAUAACUAGAUAACUAGAUAACUAGAUAACUACGAAAACACAGUGGCCACCCUGACUUUGACCACUUUCUACUCAUUAGUGCUUAACCCUGUUGCUUGCUAGUUGCCCAACACUCAAUAACCUUGCUUUUUGCUUUAACAAGUUGUUAUCAGCAACUAUGCCAUGAUACAUGGCUAUAUAUAAGCAUUUUCAAAAAUUGAGGAAGUAGACAUGAACACACAGAGGCAACCCUGACUUCGACUGCUUUCUACUCACUUGUGCUUAACCCUGUUGCCAGUCGGUUGCCUCACACUAAACAACCUUGCUCUUUUCAUUAUCGUUGAAUGGACAAGAAUAACAUUAGAUCAUCACUAGGCAGAAAAACCUAAAUUGAGGUCUUUUAAGUUAGGGAGCAUAUGAGAAAAGAGUAGUUUUGUAAUCUUUUCAACAGUAGAUUUUCAAACUAAAAACAAAGCACUUUAAUGUGUGGACCUCUAUUCCUAAUAGGCGGCAAUUGAUUACAUGAAUUAUGACACACAACAAGUGCACUACUUUAUAAGAUCUGUGUAAAAGCAUUUGUUACAUGCUAAAGGUGCAUUCUCUUAUCAUCAGAAAACAGAAUCUUUACGACAGAAAGAAACUAAAUUUGAACAACAUCAACACAAUUAAUCAGUAUAAUAAUGAAGUCAAAUACCACUGGUUGUAUCUCAAUAACACUAAUUAUUUC
rnacentral:lncRNA from 1 species